AUACCUUUCUUGGUGUUUCGGCUAAGAUCAAGUUUAAUAUCUGUUCUUAUCAAUUCAAUAUCUGAUACUUCUGUUGCAAAAUGCUUAGUUCAGGCAGGGGUAAAACAACU
rnacentral:snRNA from 2 species